AGCCACAGCCAUAUCACCCUGCAGGCCAAGACCGGUGCUCACUGAAGCUAAGCAGACUCAGACUCACUGAAGCUAAGCAGGGCUGAGCCUGGUCAGUACCUGAAAGGGAGACCACAUGGGUAAACUAGGUUGCUAUUGGAA
rfam:Danio rerio chromosome 15, GRCz11 reference primary assembly.